GGGGGUAGAAGGGGCCCGGUGGCCCCCCCGGUCUUCAAAACCGCGUGGCGGGCGUCCUCAGGACGGCCGCGGUGGGUUCGACUCCCAUCUACCCCCG
rnacentral:tRNA from 1 species